UCCCUGGUGGGCCAGUGGUUGGGACUCUUCACUUUUGCUGCCAAUGGCCCAGGUUCAAUCCCUGGUCAGGGAA
rnacentral:tRNA from 1 species